rnacentral:tRNA from 1 species
UGUUCUGUCGUCUAGUUGGUAGGACACACCCUUUGGGAGGGUGAAACCUGGGUUCGAAUCUCAGUGGAGCAA